AUGCUUAUUCGGUCGGAUCAGACCGAAUCUGCAAGAGAGAAAAACGUUGUUGAUAACAGUGCUCCUCCAAUGAUGAUCAAACCAAAAAAUCCAGAAAUAGGAGUGUGGAAAGUCAACGGAGGGAGGAGACAAGCUCCAAGGCCAAAGCCGACAGUUAGCAUGUUGUUGGAAAAAUAUACCUCACACAAGACCAACAAUGUGUUUAACCGGCUCGGAGGUAAUAAGCGUCGUAGAUCUCCUUCUGGACAUGGCGUUCAUGAGCAAUGGCAAGGAGAUUGGUAUGACCAGCAACCAUAUUUUGCAAUGGAGCCGACAUAUUGGGGUUGUGCGCCUCCGAUGUAUCCACAGUUUCCUCCAUGGGGAUUUAAUCCUUGGGUGCCAUAUCCUACAGGACCAGCAGGUUAUUUUCAGCUGGGAUGGAUUCCGCCGAGGCCUAUGUUUCGACCAAACAUGCAUGAGAAAAGGGCUCGGUUCAAUGAGGAGGCUAGAUCACAUGGUGCUAUUGAGAUUCGAGGAGGUCGAUCACCGGUACGCAGUGCAGAACGCAACAACUAUAAGGGCGACCACAAGCGCGUAUGGAUGCCGGUGAAACAUGUCGAUCCUAAACCCGGAAAAAGUACAGAUGAUUUAGAUGCUGCUCAUGGUCUGAAAAUAGUGGAACACCAGUCAGGUGAAGGUGUUGUUAAUUGUACAGAAACAAGCGGCGUCUCAAAAGAAGCUCUCGGUAUAGAGAAGAAAAGUGACGGCGUGAAGUUGCAGCAAGCUGGUCAAUCUAAUCAAUUUGGAGAGAAAGCUAAUUAUGUGCAUAACCUGCAUGCACGUUCAGAAAAGGAAUGUGUUGUAUCCUCACGUACUAGUCAACAGACUAAAUCGGCAAGUUCGUAUGCUGAUUUAGUUAUGAGAAAUUGUGGCCCAGGUACGUCCAAGAGUUUGCCUCCAACGAGUUUCAAGUAUAACAGCAGCACACAUAUACGUUGGGAUUCAAAUAAUGUACGCGGCCAGGAUUUUAAUGCUAGUAAAGUAUACAAUCAGCAAGGAGGUUUUUCAGCCAAAGAUAAAGUAUUUGUUCCAAUAACAACAAUAUGUCAGUACAGGCCAAAGGAUCCGGGGGGGGGAGGGCAGCAAAAUUAA
rnacentral:rRNA from 1 species